UACGGGGGGGGCAAGCGUUGUUCGGAAUUACUGGGCGUAAAGGCUCGUAGGCGGCCAACUAAGUCGGAUGUGAAAUCCCCAGGCUCAACUUGGGAACUGCAUCCGAUACUGGAUGGCUUGAAUCCGGGAGAGGGAUGCAGAAUUCCAGGUGUAGCGGUGAAAUGCGUAGAUAUCGGGAGGAACACCAGUGGCGAAGGCGGUUACCUGGAGCUUUGCUGACGCUGAUGCGCGAAAGCGUGGGGAGCGAUCCGG
rnacentral:rRNA from 1 species